rnacentral:rRNA from 1 species
ACAUGCCUAUAACAUAGCGUUAAUGCACCGGAUCCCAUUAGAACUCUGCAGUUAAGCGCGCUCAGGCUAGAGUAGUACUGGGAUGGAUGACUGCCCGGGAAGUCCUAGUGUUUUACAUGCC